rnacentral:lncRNA from 1 species
GCUGUCCUUCACUGAAACCUGAUACCUGGGAGUGGUGUUGUCCCCCAGCCAUAUACAAAUACCUGAGGUUCAUUUUCUUAUGCUUGACUAUAUAAUUCUCUUAAAAAACCUGAGAAAGAUGCUUUGGUAACUAUGGGUAAAAUAAGACAUUAAGUGGAAGGAACAAACUUUCUCAAAGGUUAGGAAAAGAAACACUGCUGUGGAAGAAUCCAAUGAAUUUAUUAAUGAGCUUGGAGAAGCCUUUACUGUGGAGGUAAGCAGGAUGCUAAUGGGACGCUGUCACACACACGGACCGUGCCCCGUUGGUGUGUCGCCGUGGCAGGGGAACAACAGGAGAGAGCAUUGCCUUCCACCUGCAAUCCCUGCACUUCGGUGAGAACUAAAUUAAGUGGGUCAAAUGCCUGUCGUGUUUCUGUUCCUGUUUGUCUGCCUCAAUCGUGCAAACUUGUAGUUUUCUCUCAAUUUCUUCCCCUGGGCAAAAUAAUGCAAAUUAUGUUUUAUUCUUUGAAAAAAGGGGGAUCCCCCCUCAGAAAAGGGAGGUGCGAAAUAAGAUGCAAGUAGUGAUGUGUUUGUUCU